rnacentral:ribozyme from 1 species
UGCCCAGUAACUCCUAUCCCUACCUCCACGCGGUACCGGCCGG